rnacentral:lncRNA from 1 species
AGAGUGUAGCAGUGAGGACGACGAGAGGUCACUCUCGUCGCCAUUUUGUUUUUGGUGGUUUUUGUCUGGCUUCUUUACCGCAACCUGUUUUAUCAGCAAAGUCUUUAUAACCUGUAUUUUGUGCUGACCUCCUAUCUCAUCCUGUGACUUAGAAUGCCUUAACAACUGUCUGGAAUGCAGCCCGCUAUAUGCAGAUAUUCCAGCAGAGGAUCCUGAUACCAAAACGGAUUGCAGAGCCACAGGUUGAAAAUAGCAGAGACUCCAUGGUUCCCUCAAUGAUUGCAUGGAACAAUAACACAUGAUCCCUGUGAUGAUAUUUCAUGAUUCUGAAGAAGAAUUGGAGGUGAGACUUGAGAAAAUGGAGAAAAAGAUAUGCUUUGGAUUUUCUUGAAGACUAGAAGCUUUCUUAACCAUCCACCACCUUGUUGACUGGUUAUUAUUCUCUCUACCUUCUGUGAAACAAACUGAUGGAUACUAAUGGCACAAUUACACUUAUAGCUAGUCAGUUGCAUAGUUUAUGCACAUAGUUCUGCUUCCAGUGUUUAGUAAUGAGUUAAACAUUUUGGCUAUAUUUGUCUCUGAAGCUAUAAUUUCAAUUAAUCAUUAUGUAUAGCAAUAAUAACAAGUAAAACAAAAAGAAGAAUUUUUUGUUUCUAUGGUAAUUAUGUUGGGUGCUUUGGAUCCUCCCAAUAAAGUUGACUUCCUAAAAUAAUUACACUUGAAUUAGGUAUAGAGAAGCUAAUUGUAACAAAUUGAAAGUUACUGUAAAUCUUCUAAUCGUAGUUCUCUGCAAGUGUACUUAAGUUAUUGCUCCACUUGAAAUAAAUGAAAACUGGAAAUCUGAGGUGAUGAAUUAUGGGUCCCUUUUAUGUAAGAAAGAUGACAAGGAAAUCUAAUCUGCUGAGUUAUACUAAAAUAAAAUACCUUGGCCUGGGAUCAAAUAUAGGUGAAAGAAUUAACAUUUAUGUUUUUUAAUUAAGAUAAAAUGUACAAGUUUUAUGUACAUAUUUUAUGAUUUCCUGAUAUAACAAAAAGUGUUGAUAAAAGCACCCAAUACUGAUUCUAAUGACAUUUGAUUAGCAUUAAAGAGUUGCUAUUAUU